GGUACUGGUUGUUUAAUACUUUAUUGCUAUUUUCUGUCAGUGUUGCACUGAAUCUUGAGUUCAUAAGUUACAGUAAUAUGAUUUAUUGGUUGCAUAAGUAUGAUUAUUUCAUGUUAUUUUAGUUUGUUUUAAUCUUUUUAUUUGUCUCAGGAUGUGAGAUCUUUGACUCAUUAUUCUCAGUUCCGCCUCUACAGCAUUAUUCUAUAACCCACUGCUUAACUUGACAUCUAAAUGAAGGUUUCGAUUCAUGCGACUUGUAGAUUAUCAGCACUGAUGUAAUCACCCAUGAAAGAAUCAGUAAGGGGUCUUUGGCAUAUUAGCUGUACUGCUGUCAUUUUGAAUAUUAACUCUCAGCAUUAGCGUUUUCAUACAAAUACUGUAUUGUAGCAGUUUUCUUGUGUUGGGGUUAGAAUUGCACUCAGACAUUGAACUUUGUUUUAAAUUGCUAGAGUUUUUGUACUGAAUUUUGUGUUUUGUGUGACAAAGCCUCUGUUUCUCAUUCACUAUUAAUGCCGUGACAUAGUCUGGUAGUUCUCAAGAGCAACUAGCCUCAAGCAAACUGCUACAAAGGCUUUCUCCAUGCAGCCUAAUGAGUCUCAUGGAAUGUUUUCACUUUAUUCAUUCAUUUUUAUUUUAUUUUUUCCACACUCACUUGCUUGGUCUCUCAACAGGAAGAAUUGCUUGGAUGGCGGGAGCUCUCAGCUCCCCUAGUGUUCUGAGUAGCAUGGAAAAGAGUGACCUACUGACUAUACACCCCUCAAUUAAGGCUGUUGAAAUUAAUGGAGUGAGCUUUUGUGUUCAACUGAAGAAAGAAACUCUCAUUUGGAAACACUCUAAGGUGAGUAAAUGAUUUUUUUUAUUUUUAUUUUUUUUAUUUGUAGCUAAUCCUUUAACACUUACAUUGCAAAUUGUAGCCUGUUUUGUUUUGUUUUAUUUGUUUUUAUUUUUUCACAUUCCCUUGUUCACAUAUGCAGUACAAUAAUGAGCUAUUGAUUUGACAUACAUGCAUACAUACAUAUACAUGUGGUGAAGAAACUACCUGCUUUGGUUAAAGCAACUGUAAUUACAGCAACUGUGUGUAGGUUUGUGUAUUUUUGUGACUUUGGAGUCCCCUACAGUUAAGUGAGUGGAAUCCGCUGUCGUAAAACAGUAAUACAGUAGCUGUACAUGUGCAUUUGUUGCUGCUGUAAAACAGCUUUUCGCAGGAUUUUGUACCCACUCACCAAACUCACACACUCCCAGAACAGAGUUUGUGAGAGAAACAGCAGCCAUACGCCUGAUUAUAAGCACAUGUAGCAGCAGAAUGAUUUAGAAAUUUACAUAGAGUUGGUUUUACUAGCUUACUAGCACAUACACAGUGUUAACAGUGUUGUUAGCCUUGCCAGCUGGGACUGGUUUCUCAGUUUCUCUCUCUGCCACAUUAACAUUUAAUGAAGUAUUUUUGCUCCUGGCCACAGUCACCCUUGACCUAGUGGGUGUAAAAUGAAAAAUAUUUAAGGAAAUCAUUUUCUUUUAAUUGAAUUGCGUAAUGAGGGCCCAUUAAAGUUAAAGACACUGCUACUGUAACUGAUUUGCAACAAUGAUUUGCAAAAGCACAAUAUUGUAUAAAUACAGCUGAACUGACUUGACUUACAGUAUGUGUGGUCCAGUUAUAAUUCACGGAUAAACAACUCAAAUGAAAUGGAUUUGUCAGACCCUGGAGAAGAAGUGUCACAUCUCGUCGUCCUCCAGGAGGCGCUCUGUACUUGUACCGUCCAAGCAGUUGUGCUUCCCAGCAGAGAUGAUAACAGUGUCUUAUUCAUAUCCUGGCUGUCUGGUAGUGGAAACAGCACUAUCAGAAUCAGAUAAAAAAAUAAAUAAAUAAAAAAAAAUAACCAAUAAUAAUUAAUUAAUUAAAAAAAAGGCAUAAUCCAAAAUAAUUAAAUCUUUAUAGUCCACAUUGUCAGAGACCAGUCAAGCCCGGUCCCAUCCAUCCAUCCACCUGUUCACCAUCAGCAACCUCAUCACAGGAACAGUAUAAAACACUCACCACAGCCCCAGUUCAGCGUCAAGCCUCCAACAGGAACGGACCAUUGAAUGCUGUCUCAUGAUCAACCGAUGCACCGCAGAUUCUAUGAUGUAAAGUAUACUUACCUUUGAAACACUAACCUCUGUGUCAUUAUUCUACUGUCUCCAGGAUUCCUGAGCACUACCCCGUGGCCUGAAAUCCAGCGAUUCCCCGAAUCUCCUGUGUUGUCUCCGAGCUUGCUUGAUAGCCUCCAUUUCUGAGAGUGAUCUGUGGAAGAGACAAGUAUUAGCGAUCUGUGACUGAGUGGCAUUGACAUAUCUGCAAAAGACUUACUCACCUGCUUACACCUCGCACUGAGUAAUUUGCACCAAACCUGCACCUGAAAACAUUGUCUACUUACCUUGCACUUACAAGCUUGUAAAUAAAGUACUGUGCUUGGAUUCA